rnacentral:rRNA from 1 species
GAUGAACGCUAGCGGCAGGCCUAAUACAUGCAAGUCGAACGGGAUUAAGAGGCUUGCUUCUUAUGAGAGUGGCGCACGGGUGCGUAACACGUAUGCAACCUACCUUCAACUGGGGGAUAGCCUUCCGAAAGGGAGAUUAAUACCGCAUAAUAUAAUUGAGUGGCAUCACGUGAUUAUCAAACGACAGGGUUGAAGAUGGGCAUGCGUCCGAUUAGUUUGUUGGUGAGGUAACGGCUCACCAAGACUACGAUCGGUAGGGGAUCUGAGAGGAUGGCCCCCCACACUGGUACUGAGACACGGACCAGACUCCUACGGGAGGCAGCAGUAAGGAAUAUUGGUCAAUGGACGGAAGUCUGAACCAGCCAUGCCGCGUGCAGGAAGACGGUCCUCUGGAUUGUAAACUGCUUUUGUUAGGGAAGAAACUUCCGUACGUGUACGGGACUGACGGUACCUAAAGAAUAAGGAUCGGCUAACUCCGUGCCAGCAGCCGCGGUAACAC